AUAUUGGUCAAUAGCCUAACGGCUGAACCAGCAACUUGGAGGAAUGUAUGGCAAUAGCUGGUUGCAUUAACAUACAGUUAGUGCAAGAUCGACUCUGUCGAAUAAAAUUCUAGGUAGAGUUAUGAUGAUGACAUUUUCUAUCUAUGUGUCUUGACCAAAUUACGUGCCAGCAGUCGCGGUAAUACGUAAAAGACUAGUGUUAUUCAUCUUUAAUAGGUUUAAAGGGUACUUAGACGGUAAAUCAAGCCCCAAAGGGGGUACUAAUAUACUAGAGUUUGAUAUAAGGAAGUUUUAAAGUACUGUUGGUGUAGAGAUGAAAUUCUGUCAUACCAAAUAUGGCACAGGUAUAGGCGAAGGCAUCUUCUUAUGUAAUAACUGACGUUGAAGGACGAAGGCUUUGUGUCUCGAACAGGAUUAGAUACCCUAGUAGUCUAAGCAGACAAUGAUGAAUGUCAUAGAUUAGAUAUAAUUUAUUCUAUAAAUGAAAGUGUAAGUAUUCCACCUCAGGAGUAAUUUGGCAACAUUGGAAAUGAAAUCAUUAGACCGUUUUUGAAACCAGUAGUGAAGUAUGUUAUUUAAUUCGAUAAUCCGCAAG
rnacentral:rRNA from 1 species